UACGUAGGGGGCUAGCGUUGUCCGGAAUCAUUGGGCGUAAAGCGCGUGUAGGCGGUCCGGUAAGUCCGCUGUGAAAGUCGGGGGCUCAACCCUCGAAUGCCGGUGGAUACUGUCGGGCUAGAGUGCGGAAGAGGCGAGUGGAAUUCCUGGUGUAGCGGUGAAAUGCGCAGAUAUCAGGAGGAACACCUAUUGCGAAGGCAGCUCGCUGGGACGUAACUGACGCUGAGACGCGAAAGCGUGGGGAGUAAACAGG
rnacentral:rRNA from 1 species